rnacentral:rRNA from 1 species
AGAUGUGAAUAAAAAUUGAGACCGCGAAUGGCUCAUUAAACCAGCUGUAAUUUACUGGAUCCUCCCAAUUUGAAUUGGAUAACUGUGGUAAUUCUAGAGCUAAUACAUGCCAUUGAAUCUCUUGCGAGCAAACCAGCGCGCAGCUACGGCCUUCCGAACCCCGCCGUUGCCUCCGCUUCGGCGGGUAGUACGGGACCGCUACUCGUGUGGAUGGUGCUGGUCAAGGGUGCACUUAUUAGAAGCAAAAACAGGUUCCCUCGGGCUUCGGUCCGUAGAACACUCGUUACGCUGACUCCGGAUAAAUUUACCACUGUUGAGCGCAAGGUGCGAAUCUAGCACCGGCGCCAAUUCUUUCAAGUGUCUGACCUAUCAGGUACAUUGUAAGUCAUGUGCUUACAAUGCCGAUAACGGGUGACGGGGAAUCAGGGUUCGAUUCCGGAGAGGGAGCCUGAGAAACGGCUACCACAUCUAAGGAAGGCAGCAGGCACGCAAAUUACCCACUCCCGGCACGGGGAGGUAGUGACGAAAAAUAACGAUGCGGGACUCUAUUCGGAGACCCGCAAUCGGAAUGAGUACACUUUAAACACUUUAACGAGUACCAAUUGGAGGGCAAGUCUGGUGCCAGCAGCCGCGGCAAUGGCGUAUGUUAAAGUUGUUGUGGUUAGAAAGCUCGUAGCUGGUCCUACGGGGCCGUCGGCGUUGGCGGUGGGGUUGAAAUCCGAUGGUGACCCCGCCUAGCGGUGGGGCCGCCUUUCCCCCUCCGUCGCGCCGGGUCUAAUCACUCCCCGGUGGCGAGUUUAGCCGCCUGGGGGACAAUCUGGCCGGUUCGCCCGUGGUUGCUCUUAAUCGAGUGACCGCGGUCGUCUGGCGUGUUUACUUUGAAAAAAUUAGAGUGCUCAAAGCAGGCUAGUUAAUGGCCUGAAUGAUGAUGCAUGGAAUAAUAAAAUAAGGCAUCGUGUUCAUUUUCAUGACGAGUCCCCCCCCUCUCCGAGGGGUGGGGCUCGGGACCUGUUUUACUACCGGGGCCCCGGCGCGAGCUUAUAUAACGCCGCGCCGCGUGGCCUUCUGAAUCUCGAUACAAUGAUUAGCAGGGACAGAUGAGGGCAUUUGUACUGCGGGGCGAGAGGUGAAAUUCUGUGACCCUCGCAAGACAAACAAAGGCGAAAGCAUUUGCCAAGUAUGUUCCCACUAGUCAAGAACGAAAGUUAGAGGUUCGAAGGCGAUCAGAUACCGCCCUAGUUCUAACCGUAAACUAUGCUAACCAGCAAUCAGCCGGUCGUUAUACCAAUGACCCGGCUGGCAGCUUCCGGGAAACCAAAGUCUUUGAGUUCCAGGGGAAGUAUGGUUGCAAAACUGAAACUUAAAGGAAUUGACGGAAGGGCACCACCAGGAGUGGAGCCUGCGGCUUAAUUUGACUCAACACGGGAAACCUCACCAGGUCCGGACACUAGGAGGAUUGACAGAUUGAAAGCUCUUUCUCGAUUCAGUGGGUGGUGGUGCAUGGCCGUUCUUAGUUGGU